AAAGAACAAAAGAGCUGGUACAUAUUGUUAAUUAAACUAAUUAGUUUUUAAUAAUGACUAGAAUUUGUAUAUAUUGCUUAGAAAGAAUUUAUAAAAAAUUUAAUUGCUUUGAAUAGUUUAAGUCUCUUAUGAAGCCCAUGAUUUAAAAUUCUUUGAAAUCUCACUGUCUAGGGAAGAUACUACAAUGUGACUUGUUAUAAAUAAUUCAAAAAUUUAAUCAAAAUGUUCAUUUCAGAUUCUUUGAAAACAAGUAAUGAUUCCUUUUGGUAACUGGCUCAUGUCUUUUCCAGGAAAUACAAGGUGAAAACUAUAAACAUGAUGUACCAGCCAAAGGAAGAGAAGUUUAGACACAGACCUGAACAAAAGGAAGAUGAUGUGAAGACAGAGGGAGAAGAUGGCCAUCUAGAGGCCAAGGUAGUCUUGAGAUUCAUUUCAUACAGCUUCUCAGAGACUGAUUCCGAAAGAUGCAGCAAUUCAUCAUGUUUUACUGUGGCCAGCUUGACAAUGCAUCACCAUUUUCUUCCCUGCCUCACUCCCCAACCCCUCAUUCUUGCUUCUGUACACUCCCUAAAAAGUAGAUGCAAGUAGACCUUCUUAAGGCUCAGCUUUUUCCCCUUCCUCUUUUUUCAAGCUAAGACAAGGAGUUUGCCUGUCCUUACAGCCUCCAGUUGGAAAUGAACCUAGUACUCCUUAGCUCUUCGAGUGCCAGAAUUAUAUGUAGAGAAGAAUUUUUACAUUGUUACCCAUGCCCUAACACCUGAUCCUUGGUAGGAGAUUGAGGGUUCAGUCUUUAAAGGUGAGGUUCCCCCCAAAAUCAUUACAUAUGAAACUUCCUUACCAUUUCCAGUAUCACAUUCCACUUAUGUAUGUUUC
rnacentral:lncRNA from 1 species